CUUGCGGGCCGGCCUAUACAUGCAAGUCGAGCGCAGGAAGCAGGCAGAUCCCCUUCGGGGGUGAUGCCUGUGGAAUGAGCGGCGGACGGGUGAGUAACACGUGGGCAACCUGCCUGUAAGAUCGGAAUAACUCCGGGAAACCGGGGCUAAUGCCGGGUAAUCCUUUUUUUCGCAUGAGAGAGAGGUAAAAGAUGGCCUUUGGCUAUCACUUACAGAUGGGCCCGCGGCGCAUUAGCUAGUUGGUGAGGUAAUAGCUCACCAAGGCGACGAUGCGUAGCCGACCUGAGAGGGUGAUCGGCCACACUGGGACUGAGACACGGCCCAGACUCCUACGGGAGGCAGCAGUAGGGAAUCUUCCGCAAUGGACGAAAGUCUGACGGAGCAACGCCGCGUGAACGAUGAAGGUCUUCGGAUCGUAAAGUUCUGUUGUUAGGGAAGAACAAGUACCGUGCGAAUAGAGCGGUACCUUGACGGUACCUAACGAGGAAGCCCCGGCUAACUACGUGCCAGCAGCCGCGGUAAUACGUAGGGGGCAAGCGUUGUCCGGAAUUAUUGGGCGUAAAGCGCGCGCAGGCGGUUUCUUAAGUCUGAUGUGAAAGCCCACGGCUCAACCGUGGAGGGUCAUUGGAAACUGGGGAACUUGAGGACAGAAGAGGAGAGUGGAAUUCCACGUGUAGCGGUGAAAUGCGUAGAUAUGUGGAGGAACACCAGUGGCGAAGGCGACUCUCUGGUCUGUUUCUGACGCUGAGGUGCGAAAGCGUGGGUAGCAAACAGGAUUAGAUACCCUGGUAGUCCACGCC
rnacentral:rRNA from 1 species